CGGCAGCGCGGGGGUUUCGGCCUCUGGCGGCGAGUGGCGGACGGGUGAGUAAUAUAUGGGAACGCGCCCGGCGGCGGGGGAUAACUCUGGGAAACCAGAGCUAAUACCGCAUGCGUUUCGCCUUUCGGGGCGAAAGAAAGCGGGGGACUUCUUCGGAGGCCUCGCACCGGCGGAGCGGCCCAUAUCCGAUUAGCUUGUUGGCGGGGUAACAGCCCACCAAGGCCGCGAUCGGUAGCUGGUCUGAGAGGACGGACAGCCACACCGGGACUGAGACACGGCCCGGACUCCUACGGGAGGCAGCAGUGGGGAAUAUUGGACAAUGGGGGCAACCCUGAUCCAGCAAUGCCGCGUGUGUGAAGAAGGCCUUCGGGUUGUAAAGCACUUUCGCGGGGGAAGAAAAAGCGAGGGGUAAUAUCUCUCGCGCCUGACGGUACCCCGAGAAGAAGCACCGGCUAACUACGUGCCAGCAGCCGCGGUAAUACGUAGGGUGCGAGCGUUAAUCGGAAUUACUGGGCGUAAAGCGUGCGCAGGCGGCCUGUCAAGUCGGGUGUGAAAUCCCCGGGCUCAACCCGGGAAUUGCGCUUGAAACCGGCGGGCUAGAGUACGGCAGAGGAAGGUGGAAUUCCGUGUGUAGCGGUGAAAUGCGUAGAUAUACGGAAGAACACUCAUGGCGAAGGCAUCCUUCUGGGCCGUAACUGACGCUCAUGCACG
rnacentral:rRNA from 1 species